CAGUAGCCACGGUAAUACGGAGGGUGCAAGCGUUAUCCGGAUUUAUUGGGUUUAAAGGGUCCGUAGGCGGAUCUGUAAGUCAGUGGUGAAAUCUCACAGCUUAACUGUGAAACUGCCAUUGAUACUGCAGGUCUUGAGUAAAUUUGAAGUGGCUGGAAUAAGUAGUGUAGCGGUGAAAUGCAUAGAUAUUACUUAGAACACCAAUUGCGAAGGCAGGUCACUAAGAUUUAACUGACGCUGAUGGACGAAAGCGUGGGGAGCGAACAGGAUUAGAUACCCCCGUAGUCCCUGUCUCUUAUAC
rnacentral:rRNA from 1 species